UUUUUUUUUUUUUUUGCAAUAUUAGGGUAUUUUGAAUACCUUGGGGCACUUCACUAUAGCCAGAAUACAUCAGAAUGAUGUAUUUGUGAGGUGCUAUUGUAUUACAGAGCAAGAUUUGAAUAAGAUUUUCCUAAUUAUACUAUCCAAAUCAUUACUUUCUAUUUUAUCAGGAUGAGAAAAAUCAUUUGUAUUAUUUUUAAAAAGAGGAAGACAAGACUUCACAUAAUUUGUUAAAUCAAUAAUAAUGCUUACAAAGUCUACUGAGUUGGUUUAAUCAAAUCUUUUUUACUUAUCAUCUAAUUUUAUUCUUGAACCAACCAUGAGUUUAGGUAGAAGUACAAUUAUCCUAACCUUAAGGUUGAGAAAAUGGAGGCUUAGAGAAGUUAAGUAAUAUGCCCAAUGCUAAUCAAUGUAAUCUGAUGUGGACCAGGUCAUCUAACUCCACAUUCGGUGCUUCCAUUUUUAAUAGUCUAUUUUCUAAGAAUUUUUCUAACAUUUUAAACUACUAUUGAGUGAAUAUCUGAUACCAAUUCAAGAACCAUCAUACUAUCUUAUCUCACACAAACUGGCUUCUUUACUACUAAUAAUAAUAGUGAUGAUGAGAUCAUCUGAUUUCUCUUAGGCAGUUCCAUAUGCAUCCUCUUUUUUGUAUUAUACUUUAAGUUCUAAGGUACAUGUGCACAAUGGGCAGGUUUGUUACAUAUGCAUACAUGUGCCGUGUUGGUUUGCUACACCCAUUAACUCGUCAUUUACACUAGGUAUUUCUCCUAAUGCUAUCCCUCCCCCAUUUCCCCACCCCACGGCAGGCCCUGGUGUGUGAUGCUCUCUGCUGUGUCCAAGUGUUCUCAUCGUUCAAUUCCCACCUGUGAGUGAGAACAUGUGGUGUUUGGUUUUCUGUCCUGCAAUAGUUUGCUCAGAAUGAUAGUUUCCAGCUUCAUCUAUGUCGCUACAAAGGACAUGAGCUCAUCCUUUUUUAUGGCUGAUAGUAUUCCAUGGUGUAUAUGUGAUACAUUUUCUUAUUCCAAUCUAUCUUUGAUGGACAUUUGGGUUGGUUCCAAGUCUUUGCUAUUGUGAAUAGUGCCACAAUAAACAUACGUGUAUAUGUGUCUUUAUAGCAGCAUGAUUUAUAAUCCUUUGGGUAUAUACCCAGUAAUGGGAUCAGUGGAUCAAAUGGUAUUUCUAGUUCUAGAUCCUUGAGGAAUCACCACAGUAUCUUCCACUAUGGUUGAACUAGUUUACACUCUCACCAACAGUGUAAAACACUCCUAUAUCUCCACAUCCUCUCCAGCACCUGUUGUGUCCUGACUUUUUAAUGAUCACCAUUCUAACUGGUGUGAGAUGGUAUCUCAUUGUGGUUUUGAUUUGCAUUUCUCUGAUGGACAGUGAUGAUGAGCAGUUUUUCAUGUGUCUGUUGGCUGCAUAAAUGUCUUCUUUUGAAAAGUGCCUGUUCAUAUCCUUUGCCCACUUUCUGAUGGGGUUGUUUGAUUUUUUUCUUGUAAAUUUGUUUAAGUUCUUUGUAGAUUCUGGAUAUUAGCCCUUUGUCAGAUAGGUAGAUUGCAAAAGUUUUCUCCCAUUCUGUAGGUUGCCUGUUCACUCUUCUGGUAGUUUCUUUUGAUGUGCAGAAGCUCUAUAGUUUAAUCAGAUCCCAUUUGCCUAUUUUGGCUUUUGUUGUCAU
ensembl:lncRNA